GAGAGACGUCAGGAGAAGAGAAGAGAAAAAUGUAUGUUUUCUAGGUCUCCAGUGGUCUUUCUUCUCUUUAGAUGGUUUAACUGCAGGUCUUUCAGAUUGCUGUGCGAAGAGACCACGAACUCAACUGGGUCCCAGCUGGCCGUUUUGGAGGAGUGGGUGCACGCAGUGAGCCUGCUAUUGGGAAUUCUGUUGAGAACACCUGAGAGCUAUCUGUCGGCCAGGCUCCAGGGCAGAAGCUCUGCGGAGUGACCUGUUACAUGCAAAUUCCUGGGCUGUUUUCUGUUCCUUUGUGGAACUGUCAGAACACAGUGAACCAAGAUUAACAUUAUCCAGAAGACUUGAAGCUCCUCUGACGCAGAAGUACACAGCAUGGUAGUAAGGAGAGUAGGCGCUGGUGGAGUUACAUGAUCAGAACUUGAAUACUGAUGCUGCUAACUAGUACCUUUUAAAUUGGACAAGUCAUGGUUUCUGUGAAUGCCCAUUCUUUGAACGGUAAAAAGGUAACAGCACCUAUCACUUGGAGCUGCUACGAGGAGCCAGUGAUAAGAUAUGUAGGUUCCCAGAACAGUGCCCAGCUUAUGUUAAGAGCUCUAUUCACAGUACUCAUUUUUAUGUUAUUUAUUGUCGGUAUUACUAUGAUUCAGUUCUCUACAAAAUCAGAUAUGUGGGGUUGGGACCUUACAUCACCUUUUCAAUACAGCUCUCAAGGGUUUAAAGAUAAACAAGGACUCAUACCUUUUGUAUAUGUAGACCUGGAACAUAAAACCUACUCUGAUGACGGGUUCACAUCCACCUUGUAAUUUGUCUACAAUAAUGUCAACAUGGAGCUACAAAUAAUCUCACAUAUGCUACAUUAACAGUUUACUUAGAAAUUGGGGUAGAUGUCGCUGCAUGUUUUCAAUCCUCUCAACUAAUGCUGUGGUCACACUUCUGGGAAAAGCCUAGGAUGGUAUCACUUAACAUUUUUUCUUCAACUUGUUCAGAUUUUAAAGGUGCAAUAUUAUUGAUUAGCCACAUGGGGGCAUGAAGCUCUAAUUUUUCCUGAAGUUGACCAGGACGUCUAUCCUAAGCAUUAGAAGUUGUAAUGCCUUAGAUAUCUUAGAAAAACCAAACAAUGUUCCUGAAAUAUUUUAUAUGGGCAGUGUUAGAAAUGAACAAAGCAUGUUUGUGUUUAAAAGUUGAUCGUGCAGAUUUGUGUUCUGGCUGUAAUAUCCAACCCCGGAGGCACAUUACAAUCACCUGGAGGGCUUUUAAAAUAUGAAUUCUGCUGCACACCACCCGUCUGGGGAUGGCAAGGCAACAGUAUCAGCAUUUUUAAAAAAGCUCCCCAGGUAAUUGCAAGGUUGAGAACCGCUGAUCUAUGGAUUAGUGGAGCUUGAAAGUAAUAUGAAACACCUGGCCAUCUGACACUGACCUGUAAUAAGUGAUGCCAGGGGUCACGGUCACGUUAUCAGAAAAUAAACAAAAGUUGAAAAAUAAAGACUGGCAAGCUAAUUACUAUUGGAGCCAACAUUUCCUUAAUUUGUCUCCCUAUUGAGGCUACAGACUCCCUGGGGUGACUAAACUGGCUCCGGCUACAUAUUUUCAAAGAGAAAAUCAAAGUGACUGAAUGUCCAUUAGCCAGACAGCUUGUCUCACUGAGCCUGAAGCCAGUGGAUUGCAACCUCUCAAGCCUCAGAGGCAGUCCUGGGGCCACCCUCCCUUCUCUCCUCCUGGAUUCCUAACAACCAGCUGAGGUUGUGUUUGAUUUCAAAUUCCUCUGAUUGUAACAAUACAGGCAUUAGAUAUGCAAAGUUAAAAAGGAAAACCAAGGAGGAAGAGAUGAUUUCAGAUCACAUGUGGUUAUACUCAAGAAUCACUCUCAAUUCAUAACAAAAUGACCAUAACGAAAUAUUGAGCUUACUAAUUAGUCCAAAACAGAUGAAAAUGCUUAUCAGCUUCUGAUGUUCCGGAAUGUGGGACUCUUUUUGGCCUGUGACAUUUCUUAUUGCUGAAUUGAAUGUUUGGAUGUGUAAUAAUUCAUCUUUUAGAUAUUUUGAGGAAAGUCCUCUGCUUAGAAGGUGUGGAGGCUGGGUAUAUUUCUUAGAUGGAGGACUAAGAAAUGAGGCGUGGGCCAGGAGCUGUGGCUCACGCCUGUAAUCCCAGCACAUUGGGAGGUCAAGGCAGGCAGAUCGCCUGAGAUCGGGAGUUCGAGACCAGCCUGGCCAAGAUGGUGAAACCCCAUCUCUACCAAAAAUACAAAAAGGUUUAGCUGGGCAUGGUGGCGCACGUCUGUAAUCCCAGCUACUUGGGAGGCUGAGGGAUGGGAAUCGCUUGAACCUGGGAGGCAGAGGUUGCAGUGAGCGGAUAUCGCGCCACUGCACUCCAGCCUGGGUGACAGAGGGAGACU
rnacentral:lncRNA from 1 species